rnacentral:tRNA from 1 species
AGUUAAUGAGCUUGAUAAAGCAUUUACUUUGAAAGUAAAAAAAAGAAAUAAACUUUUCUAUUAAC